GACGUGAGGUGCAAGCGUUGUCCGGAUUUAUUGGGCGUAAAGAGCUCGUAGGCGGUUUGUCGCGUCGGAUGUGAAAACCCAGGGCUCAACCCUGGGCCUGCAUUCGAUACGGGCAAACUAGAGUAUGGCAGGGGAGACUGGAAUUCCUGGUGUAGCGGUGAAAUGCGCAGAUAUCAGGAGGAACACCUGUGGCGAAGGCGGCCCCCUGGGCCGCGCCGUGACGCUGAGACGCGAAGGCUG
rnacentral:rRNA from 1 species